UGAGGAAUAUUGGUCAAUGGGCGCGAGCCUGAACCAGCCAAGUAGCGUGCAGGAAGACGGCCCUAUGGGUUGUAAACUGCUUUUAUGCGGUGAUAAAGGAGUCCACGUGUGGAUUUUUGCAGGUACCGCAUGAAUAAGGACCGGCUAAUUCCGUGCCAGCAGCCGCGGUAAUACGGAAGGUCCGGGCGUUAUCCGGAUUUAUUGGGUUUAAAGGGAGCGUAGGCUGUUUGUUAAGCGUGUUGUGAAAUGUAAGAGCUCAACUUUUAGAUUGCAGCGCGAACUGGUAGACUUGAGUGCGCACAACGUAGGCGGAAUUCAUGGGGUAGCGGUGAAAUGCUUAGAUAACAUAACGAACUCCGAUUGCGAAGGCAGCUUACGGGAGCGCAACUGACGCUAAAGCUCGAAGGUGCGGGUAUCGAACAGG
rnacentral:rRNA from 1 species